rnacentral:tRNA from 1 species
CCCUGGUGUCUCAGAUGUAAAGAAUCUGCCUGCAAAGCAGGAGACCGGGGUUUGAUCCCUUGGUCGGGGA